rnacentral:rRNA from 1 species
GACGAACGCUGGCGGCGUGCCUAACACAUGCAAGUCAACUUGACUGAAGGAGCAAUCUGACAGUAGAGUGGCGCAAGGGUGCGUAACGCGUAAGUAACUUGCCCCAAGGUAAGGAAUAACGUCGAGAAAUCGGCGCUAAUACCUCAUAAUGCAGCGGAUCCGCAUGGAUAUGUUGUUAAAGGUUUACCGCCUUGGGAUAGGCUUGCGUCUGAUUAGCUAGUUGGUGUGGUAACGGCACACCAAGGCUACGAUCAGUAACUGGUCUGAGAGGAUGAUCAGUCACACUGGAACUGAGACACGGUCCAGACUCCUACGGGAGGCAGCAGUGAGGAAUAUUGGGCAAUGCUCGAAAGAGUGACCCAGCAACGCCGCGUGGAGGAUGAAGGUAUUCUAUAUCGUAAACUCCUGUGAGAGCAGACGAAGACAGAUUAUUAAUCUGGAUGACUGUAUGCUCAGAGGAAGCCCCGGCU